CCCUCGGUCAAACAGUCCCCAGUCCAUUCGGAGAUCCCAGAUCAGCGUGUAGAACGAGCUUAUGGUGGAGAAGAUGAUCAGCAGGUAGAAAAACGUGUCGGCGUCAGUGUGGCCUUGCUCUGGAACACACACAAGAGCCGCCAUAGAGACGGAGGCCCUCUGCUCCACCGCUGACACUUUCCAGCCCCUGGAGAAGAUCGUCUGAUGUGAUUUGCUCCUUCCUGCCACAUGCAAGGCAUUUAACCCUUUGCUUUCGAUUAAAAGGUUACAUAAGCUGAAACGGACAAUGAUUGCAAGUGCAAUAGUGACUAAGGGUGGUCAGAGUCAGGGGCAGGGAAAUGAAAGGUUAAUAAAAAGUGACAGUGAGAGAGUGUGUUGCAGUUUCUCCAGUUUCUAACUCAGCAACUUCACAGCAUCAAUCUGUCACUGCUAAUGGAAUCAUCUGUUUCUAUGGCAACCCACAGCCACCACAAAGACAAUAAAAAAAAAAAAAACAGAGGUCAUACAUAUCAUCAACUAUAUUAAU